GAAAAUGGUAUUUUCAUCUUAUGUUAUUAUCUAUGAAUACAACAAAAAUAUGAUUAAAAGUGAAUGUGUGACAAUUCUGCCAGGCUUCAGAGAAGGAGGUGACCAGGUCACCGAGAUCUUUGUUUCUCAGUCUUCCAUCUAUGUGAGUCCUCCACUUGCAAAUAUUCAAGGUGAGAACUUUGCCAGUUGUUCUGUAUAAAACUGACUUUGUUGGAUACCAAGAAAUCUGACUUAUGGAUGUUCUCCCAGAACAGAAGUCUUUGGUAAGUCGGAGACUUAAUGGAUUCUGGAUUGUUUUAGUAAUGUUCUUUCUGGGAAGCAUGAUCUCUCACAAAUCAUCAUUG
rnacentral:lncRNA from 1 species